UACGUAGGGACCAAGCGUUGUUCGGAUUUACUGGGCGUAAAGGGCGCGUAGGCGGCCUGACAAGUCACUUGUGAAAUCUCCGGGCUUAACUCGGAACGGUCAAGUGAUACUGUCGCGCUAGAGUGCGGAAGGGGCAAUCAGAAUUCUUGGUGUAGCGGUGAAAUGCGUAGAUAUCAAGAGGAAUACCUGAGGUGAAGACGGGUUGCUAGGCCGACACUGACGCUGAAGCGCGAAAGCCAGGGGAGCAAACAGG
rnacentral:rRNA from 1 species